rnacentral:ncRNA from 1 species
AAGAAUGCAUCCGGGUGUUCGGCUGUCUCGCCGUGUCCUGCUCCCUCAGUUGGUGGCGAACUCCCAUCCUUCUCGAGACCAGGCACAGCAGGCAGUCGAUCUGAGAAAUACCGGCGAACUUGAUCUGGAUAAUACCAGCGAAAGGACAUGCUUCUUUAGACUCC